UCGGCUGAUAAUCAUUUUGUUUAUCUAUGAGAUAUUCCAACCCAAUUAGAGGAGCUGUCAGUAAAUUGUCAACCUUCAGUCACACUACUACGAACUAUCAUGCAUAAUUCAAGCCGGUAAACCAAGAACCGUUUGAUUUUCAGUAAACAAGUGUUAGUUGGCAAGUUUUUCAAUACAUACAUAUGUAUGUAUGUAUGUAUUGACGCAUUGGAAGUUGGUCAAACUUCCAAGCUGUAAAUGAAAUCGAAUCCAAGGAUGUCAACUUCUUGUACACAGCCGAUGCAAGACGCCAGCCAGUGAAGUCCAUUUCGAAACAAAACAUCCACAAUCACCUACCCCAACAAGGCCAUAAAAAUGUGCCAACGGUGACCCACUUUCACUGUCCAGAGAAUGUGACAAGCUUGUCAGGCAUUGUGAAAUAUUGGACAACCCUUGAGACAUGCCCAGAAACGAUAAACCAAGAAAGCAAGAGGCAGUGGACAGAAGACAGGGGCCACCAACGCCUCCCAUCGCUCAUCCGACUGAAAGCGAAACAAAAGACGGCAACCGGCAAACAUGGGGAAUACUUCCGAUCCAGGAGAUCGCGAUCUCGGUCUGAAAGUGGAAUUAAAUUUGCGAUCGCCCACACACACACACAAACGCACCCACAGAAUGAAACAAAAGAUGAGUUUGUCUGGCGAUGAUUAACUUUAUUCGGGUCUGACGCAUACGCCGGGGUCUUUUGGAAUGGCAUGUGGACCUCGGGCACUGCGUCAAUGGCAAAAUGUGUAACCAAGCACAAAUGAAUCAUCGAAGUCAGGCCAAAAAUAAAGACCUAAAGACCAGCCCAGACCGCAGGGCCCCGAUCGGUAGUCCGAUGUUUUUAAUAAGGCAAAGCGACAAACAACCAAAAAUUGGGUCAACCGAGAUAAAUACAAUGCAUAUAAAUGGAGCUGAUUUCGGGAGUUAUUCUUGCCCGAAAUUUAAUACACUGAUGGAUAUGGGAAGGGAAAGGAGUCCCGAACAAUGGCAGGGCUUUCAUGCGAACUGUCAACUUGUCACGACAAUUAAGCGAGUCGAUGGCUAACUGGCUAUCUAUCGGUGAAACAUCAGGAAACGCCCACGCAUGCCAGGCGUCUUAAGCGUUAAACAAAUUAAAUAUCCGACACUGGGAAGUUGGGGGGGAAUUAUUGAAAUACGACACCGAUCGGAGUGGAUGCAUCAGGUAGAGGCGAUGACCCAAUUCGCUAUGCACUUGCGCGACAAUUUUGGUAAACACCAGGAACCCUCUGAUGACCCCUUACCACCUUGCCACCUUACCACCUUACCACCUCAAUGCCCCAUCUCCCCUUUCUUUUUAUUUUUUUUCUGUCAGCUCCAAUAUUUGUUUACCAUUUAGUUUAUUAUGCUGUGUGCGCUUUGGUUCUGCCUUGUUUGAUUGCCCUUAUUGGACUUCGCUUCGUUCCCUUGUGCCGUGGUGAUUUUCAAUUCAAGUUAUGAUUAUUAUACAUAUGUUGGGAAAGUCAAAUAACGGUCGCUAUAAGUCGAGGCAUAUGGCAUUCAAAGUCCCACAAUUGUCGGCGAUAAUUUCAAUUUGAUGAGUUUUCAAUUGGGUUCUCCAAUGGGUUUUUUGAUCUUUCCUCGCUGCGACUCUGAGGUGUUGGGAAAAGCUUGUUAAUACGCCAAAUGCCUAACAAAUAUCGUACAUUAGUUCUCCUUUCUUGACAUCUAUGAGAACGAAGUCUUGAAUUCAGCU